AGAAAAUGUCUUUUAGAGUUUCUUGAGAUGAAAUGUGGGCUUAAAAUAUUUUAAUAAAAUGAAAAGGUGACACCUCAGUUAUUUUCUAAUUUUAUUUCAGUGACAUGAUGCCUCAAAUAAUAUUUUUGUGGACUAAGCUGAAUAGUUAAGCAUAGUUUAGUUUAUAACAUCUUUAUAUGGGAAAACAUGUUCCAAGUUCUGAACAACCAAUUUCCAAACAAACUUUUGGAACUCAACACAUUCCUAUGUUAAGAACUGCCUGUACUGGUUUCAACCUGUGAACUCACCAACAGCUUGGUCAGGGUUAUUAGCAAAAUAUCAAAAUUGGCUCAUUUAACUAUUCCAUUCCACUUAUUCAUUUGUCCAUUCAUUCAUGCAUGCAUGCAUGUAUACAUGCAUUCAGCAAAUAUUUAUGAAGAGCCUACUUUAGCAGGGCCCUGGGCAGGAAGUGAAAUGAUAAGAACACAGAAUAGAACGAGACAUGGUUGUUCCGUGUCUCACUAGGGAAACCUCUUAGUGAAGCAAAUAAACCAACAAUUCUAAUACAAUAUUUAAAAAAAAAAAAAGAAGAAGAAGAAAGGAAGAGAGAUAAAGAAAGAGAAAAAUAAAGGUAAAUGGGAGACACUCCAGGAAGGGAGGUCAAGGCCUCAAAAAGAAGUAUCUCAGUGUGGACAGGAUACUGCAAGGAGGUCAGCAUUCUGAAGAGUGCAGUGCAAGCUAUGAACUGGCAAGCUAUGAUGCUGGACCUGUGAUCAUGAGGGAAUCAAUAAGCCAUUUUAAGUAAGAGAAGAGACUGUUGUGGUCCACAGCCCUCAGCAUUCCACACGGGAUCAAGUGUUUUACAAAAGACUGUCUUAGCAAACUACAUAAAAUCAGAGAAAAGUAAUUCUCGGCUGUGUUUCUACCUCCUCUAUCUGCCAGAAAAGGAAACAUCCAUUGUGAGUAGGACCCAUUUCAUUCAUGAGGCUAAGAAGCAAUAAACCCUCUUAAAAUACCUAUUUCAGGCCAGGCACGGUGGCUCAUGCCUGUAAUCCCAGCACUUUGGGAGGCUGAGGCAAGUAGUUCAAGGCCAGCCUGGACAGCAUGAUGAAACCCUGUCUCUACCACAAAUACAAAAAUUAUCCAGUCUCAUAACCCAGUCUCAAAAGAAACAAAUUAAACACAAUUUUAAAUAACUAUUUCAUUUAAAUGGUUAGUGAUGCUUUUGCUGAUCAGCAAUGAAGAGCCUUUGCAUACACAAAUCAACUUAUAUGAAGUUAGUCACUGCCCAGAGGAAGAAACAGGCCACUGAUAUUCCCAAGAAUGUAGACAGGAAGUAGACUUCUCAGGAUCUUGUUUAAGGUAAGAUAUUUUCACAACUCAAGAGGUAUGGUCUUAUACGGCUACCAUUUCCAUGCAUUUUCCCUAAGUGACAUCUGCAGUUGUUUCAGGAUGUCUAAUGUCUCCCUUAAAACAUAAGCCGUGAGUAAUCGCUUGAGAAGCCAUAGCCCAUUACUGCAGCAAAGCAUUUUCCAAACUGAGACUGGAGUUCAGUAUCCCCACUAACUGCUACUGACUCAAGGCAGCUACCUGAUAUGAAAUGGUGCUAAAGUUAUAUGUAAGAGCUGGUCUCAUCCUUUACCUCCUAUCAUUUCCUAAAACAAAACUGCAUGUGGCCUGUUGUAGCAGCUAUUUGGAGUUCUUAAACGGGUUUUUCAAGUUCUGUUCUUUUGGACCCCUGACAUAAAACUUUAAAUUGUGUUUCAUUGGUUUUUAUGAAUAUUAUUUAAUGAAUAUUGUCCAAUGAGAUAAUCUCUUAUUUUCUCCAGGCUUUUUCACAUUGUUUACCCAAACAUUGGCA
rnacentral:lncRNA from 10 species